CCGGGAGUUCUCUCGCUCCGCUCCGUCGAAGGACGCCAUUGCUGUUAUUUACUUCAUUAACUCGUUCUGUGGCAGGGAAUCCUCUCUCAUCAGGCUCUAGAGAUGAAUGAUACCUGUUUGUCCACGCAACAGAAGAUCUUCGACCAUCUGGCUUCGAACCCGCAACCCUUUAGUCCACUUCACUGAUCCAUGAUUUGCAAGUGUAAAAAUUAAGUGGGAUGCUGCGAAUACAAAUGCUAUCAGCCGCAGAAUCGGCAGAUACUUGCUGGAGCUGUAGAUUGG